AUACUUACCUGGCAGGGGAGAUACCAUGAUCAGGAAGGUGGUCCUUCCAGGGUGAGGCUUUGCCACUGCACUUCAGGUGUGCUGACCCCUGCGGUUUCCCCACGUGCGGGAAACUCGACUGCAUAAUUUAUGGUAGUGGGGGACUGCGUUCGCGCUCUCCCCUG
rnacentral:snRNA from 1 species